rnacentral:rRNA from 1 species
AUUGAACGCUGGCGGCAGGCCUAACACAUGCAAGUCGAACGAGUUGCGGACGGGUGAGUAAUGUUUGGGAAUCUACCUUAUGGAGGGGGAUAACUACGGGAAACUGUAGCUAAUACCGCGUACCAUCAGAUGAACCCAUAUGGGAUUAGCUUGUAGGUGAGGUAACGGCUCACCUAGGCGACGAUCCCUAGCUGGUCUGAGAGGAUGAUCAGCCACACGGGGACUGAGAAACGGCCCAGACUCCUACGGGAGGCAGCAGUGGGGAAUAUUGCACAAUGGGCGCAAGCCUGAUGCAGCCAUGCCGCGUGUAUGAAGAAGGCCUUAGGGUUGUAAAGUACUUUCAGUCGGGAGGCGUUACCGACAGAAGAAGCACCGGCUAACUCCGUGCCAGCAGCCGCGGUAAUUC